CGAAAACGAAUUCUCUCUUGAGUGGAUCCUGAGUACGACGGAGCACGUGAAAUUCCGUCGGAAUCUGGGAGGACCAUCUCCUAAGGCUAAAUACUCUCUAGUGACCGAUAGUGAACCAGUACCGUGAGGGAAAGGUGAAAAGUACCCCGGAAGGGGAGUGAAAGAGAACUUGAAACCGUGUGCUUACAAGUAGUCAGAGCCCGUUAAUGGGUGAUGGCGUGCCUUUUGUAGAAUGAACCGGCGAGUUACGAUCUGAUGCAAGGUUAAGCAGAAAAUGUGGAGCCGUAGCGAAAGCGAGUCUGAAUAGGGCGAAUGAGUAUUUGGUCGUAGACCCGAAACCAGGUGAUCUACCCUUGGUCAGGUUGAAGUUCAGGUAACACUGAAUGGAGGACCGAACCGACUUACGUUGAAAAGUGAGCGGAUGAACUGAGGGUAGCGGAGAAAUUCCAAUCGAACUUGGAGAUAGCUGGUUCUCUCCGAAAUAGCUUUAGGGCUAGCCUCAAGUGAUGAUUAUUGGAGGUAGAGCACUGUUUGGACGAGGGGCCCCUCUCGGGUUACCGAAUUCAGACAAACUCCGAAUGCCAAAUAAUUUAACUUGGGAGUCAGAAUGUGGGUGAUAAGGUCCAUAUUCGAAAGGGAAACAGCCCAGACCACCAGCUAAGGUCCCAAAAUAUAUGUUAAGUGGAAAAGGAUGUGGCGUUGCCCAGACAACUAGGAUGUUGGCUUAGAAGCAGCCAUCAUUUAAAGAGUGCGUAAUAGCUC
rnacentral:rRNA from 1 species